ensembl:lncRNA
AUGAUUGAAAGCUGUCAUGAUAAGGGAUGUUUGUUUUUAUCCAGGCACACAGAGAGGAGCAAGGGAAUGAGCACCACCUUCCUCCUCAGUACUGUCCCCGGACCAGGUGGACCUGCUGCUGGUACUCAGGGUGUCCCAUCACAGUCUCGGAAGGUGAACCCUGUGCUACCUCAGAGGCUGUUGCAGCACCCUCAACCUGAAGACCCCUCAGGGCUGGCAACCACACACCGUGGGCCUGUGGCACCGGCCCUGUAUGCCCUGAUCGUCUUUCCUGCCAUGACCUCUGCAGCCUCCACCACCAUCACUGCUUCUCCUGACACAAUCACCACUAUCACCCACCAUGCCAUCUCCAUCACCGCUGCUGCGCCUGCUGCUGCGCCUGCUGCUGCGCCUGCUGCUGCGCCUGCUGCUGCUGCUGCGCCUGCUGCUGCUGCUGCUGCUGCUGCUGCUGCUGCUGCUGCUGCUGCUGCUGCUGCUCCUGCUGCACCUGCUGCUGCUCUUGCUGCCGCCGCCGCCGUUCCUCGCUCCACAGCCUGGCAGAGGAGGAUUAGAGAGGAGGAGCUGCGUCGUCAGCGAGAAAGGGGUCUCCCUCUUAAAGAGAGGAAGAUCUUUACACACUUCCGCUGUGGCCGCUGUGGUCAGCCCAAGACCAAACAGUAUGGCCACAGCCGCUACAGGGGAGAGUUCUUCUGUGCCACAUCGGAGGGUCGCUCUGUGGAUGACUGGUUGAAAGAGAAGAGACGACUGGACCCGAAAUACCAGCAGCCGCGCAGGUUAAUGAUGAGGAUCGAACAUGAUCGUAUUGAUCCAUCAUGCCACAUCUAGUGAGAGAGUAGAACAUUUGAUCAGAUCUGUGUGUCCCUCACUGUCAGACACUCGCCCAAUCACCAGCUCCCGAUCACUUCACCUUGACACUCGCCCAAUCACCAGCUCCCAAUCACUUCACCUUUAUUCCAGGGAGACGAUCGUUCAGGGUAAAAGGCCCAUCUCCUGCCGACGGCCCCAGGUGGUCUAGGCGGCUCACAAUACACAUUGUAUAUCCUGUAGGUGUGACUCUGUGGGGGGCAGGUAGGAGCCCCAUAAAGGCUGGCUGGAUGAGGCUGUUGGUCUCGUCAAGGUCUAGUCUCAGGCUGCAACAACUUUGGGGAAGUCCACAAAAAAGAAAUGGAAAACUUUGGAAGGUGAGGUCUAACUGGAUUCUUUAUCUUCUUCUUUUUGCUAUCAACUGUAUAUGUGUUCAGCCCUUCAUUAAUCAUUACAUGUUGAACUAUUAUUUACAGAACAGCACCUUUGAUAAAACACAUAGAGAGAAAAAGGAGCCAGGAGUAUACAGAAGGUUUGUAUUUUUUUACUGCACUCAAUAUUAACUUGUAUUUUUCAUUACAUUACAGCAAUGAUGUGAUUGACAUGCUUCUGGUUUUACUUAGAAACAUCAAGGGUAUCUUCUGAGGACGAAUCCCUUGCCUGGCACUCCCCAUGGAGAUCAUCAUCCUCCUCACCCGCCACAAGCACUGCCAACAUUGCUUUUCCAGAGGCUGCCACCGCCGCUGCCACCACCGCCACCGCCGCUGCCACCACCGCCGCCGCCAACGCUGCCGCCGCUGCCGCCGCUGCCGCCGCUGCUUCACUACAAGAACAUGCUGCUUGCUUAAAAAAGGAGGAAGGGCGCCAACAACAGCGCCAAGAGGAGCCCCAAGAAGAGCUCCAAGAGGAGCCCCAAGAGGAGCCCCAAGAAGAGACCCACGAAGAGCGCCAAAGCCAAUGCCGAAAUUGUGGACUUCCCAGGACCCUGUCGAAGGGGCAUGCCUUUUACAAAGGGCAUUUCUACUGCACACACACUGCAGGGCCUGGGGCAAAGUCUGCCAAUGAGUGGCUGAAGGAGCAGGAAGAAAAGGAAGCACCAAAAAUUCCCAGGACAACUGCCUUCACCAUGAGGAAAAAGUGGGAGAAUGAGCACAGUUUCAAACCUCCAGAAAACAGAAGGAAGCCGAAUAAACUUAGAAUCUGCCAGCUGUGUGGCCUGCCA